CAGCAGCCACGGGAAUACGUAGGGUGCAAGCGUUGUCCGGAAUUAUUGGGCGUAAAGAGCUCGUAGGCGGUUUGUCGCGUCUGCUGUGAAAUCCCGAGGCUCAACCUCGGGCUUGCAGUGGGUACGGGCAGACUAGAGUGCGGUAGGGGAGAUUGGAAUUCCUGGUGUAGCGGUGGAAUGCGCAGAUAUCAGGAGGAACACCGAUGGCGAAGGCAGAUCUCUGGGCCGUAACUGACGCUGAGGAGCGAAAGCGUGGGGAGCGAACAGGAUUAGAUACCCCAGUAGUCCCUGUCUCUUAUAC
rnacentral:rRNA from 1 species